GUUUGGAUCAUUACUAACCCGGUUUUCCCAGCAAUGGGGAGGCUGGGUUUAAAGCGAAGCCCACGGCAAGACCCCUCUGGGGAGGAGCCCUCUGGCAAAAACCGGUAGUACUGGGGUGAAGCCGACGGGCUGAUCCUUGGGAAUCCAAAAAACACACUGGAAAAGUCCUACUGGGAGCAGUCCAGCCCACUUCACUGAGGGCAGGCAGUCUUACGGGCACACUGGAAAAGUCCUACUGGGAGCAGUCCAGCCCACUUCAUUGAGGGCAGGCAGUCUUAUGGGCAUUAUCCGCACUGGUGAACCUGCGGGUGGGCGUUCUGCAUGUGGUCUAAGGGCAUAAGUCCUCGUCUACUGGCUUCAACUAGGGGAAAACACCCCCUGGCUAUCGCUGGGUUACAACGACGUGGUAAGAGGCUCUUCUACCGUUAAACACGCGGUCCGUUCUGCGGAGGGUGGUCUUGGGAUGGAGUGCUUUCCCCCUUGAUCUCCUCACAAACAUACACGCUUGGGCCAUGGGGUCGCUCCUUUUGGCUUGGGCAAAAUCCUACACCGUUAGGCGAUGGAUUGCUGGGUACCCGCUUCGACGAAGAGCGCAGUGAAACGCGAUAACGCUUGUGAUUCGCACUCUCUGUGAUCAACGUCACCUCGAACAUCGAUGCGGCCUUGGCUUCGGCCACUGGCCCCCUUGGUUUGCCUUGCCUUAUUCCGAUAUCGUGCCUUUCUGCCCCUUGAUCCCGACCUCCCCAGCUUGCUGAGGGGGACCAGACGGUGAUGGGGGUGGGUGGGUUCGCAGUGCCUUGGCUGUGUCUACGGGACGCUAACCUCGGUCAAGAUAGGGGAGCCAAACUCCCCACCAAAACCCCCUUUUUCUGGGUGGUACACGACGGGUCUAUCCCAAACACUGGUCCUCCUCUUCUCUUCCUCACUCGUGGGGAGGGGCUGGGGCGUGUCCUGGCGAACAACGCUCACGCAACGAUCGCUGGGGCCUGUAUAUCGGGCUAGUGGGACUCUUAGGGUGCUGCCAAACCUCCUCGCCCCCCUCGGGGGGUGGGGAAACAGGGACAGAUCUUGGGAGGGAACGCCGAACGGAAACUGCCCUUUACCGGGUGGGCUCUGCCGGCCUCUUCCUGUACAAACAAGGCGGCAGGUCAGGGUGUUCACCCGCUCAAUUUAAGCAUAUAAGUCAGCGGAGGAAAAGAAAUCAAUAGAGAUUCUCUCAGUAGCUGCGAGCGAACAGGGAAUAGCCCGAGACCGAAUCCCAGCCUUCCCACGGGGGGGCGGGACCUGUAGUCUAAAGGGGUGCUCUGCAAGGGAAGGGUUCAUUGCAAUGGGAUGAUCUCCCAGCGCAUAGGGCGUUACACGCGACCGUGAGCUCGACCUGCGAAGGGUGUUCCUGCGAGUAGGCUAGCUUGAAAGUGCUGGCUGAAUAUGGGUGGUGCUGGCCAUCCAAGGCUAAAUAUGAAAGCGUGGUAACCGAUAGCGAACAAGUACCGUAAGGGAAAGCUGAAAAGCACCUCGUCUGAGGAGCUAAAAGAGCAUGAAAUCCGUCUAACGUGAACGGGACAUCCGGGCUCGUAGAAAGGCGUCGGUAAGGUAGCUCCCUGCCACACGGCGCUUAGUACUACACGGCUUCGGCGAGGCUCUGCUGGAAAUGGCUGUCUUUGAUGCUCUUGGGCUUACGGGCUCGGGGGCACUGGCGGUUCUGAUCCGUGGGGCUUCUCCGCCUAGCUUGCAGCGGUGGGAGGAUUCGUCCUUCCUGCCUUGUGAGGUGUAAGAGCUUGGUUUCCCACCCGUCUUGAAACACGGACCAAGGAGUCUAACGUACAUGCAAGUCUUCCAGCCUUCAUGCUGGCCGGCGAAGCUCAUGCAAAAAGCACCAAGGGGCCCCCGGGCCCCCGCAAUGCUCUCCUAACCGGGCUCUCGGGCUUGGAUUGGAGUUUGAGCAUGUCAUGUUAGGUCCCGAAAAACGACGAGCUAUGCUUGAGUAGGCUGAAGCCAGGAGAAAUCUUGGUGGAAGGCCGUAGCAGUACUGACGUGCAAAUCGUUUGUCAAACUUGAGUAUAGGGGCGAAAGACCAAUCGAGUCGUUUAGUAGCUGGUUUCCAC
rnacentral:misc_RNA from 1 species